GACGAACGCUGGCGGCGUGCCUAAUACAUGCAAGUAGAACGCUGAAGGAGGAGCUUGCUUCUCUGGAUGAGUUGCGAACGGGUGAGUAACGCGUAGGUAACCUGCCUGGUAGCGGGGGAUAACUAUUGGAAACGAUAGCUAAUACCGCAUAAGAGUAGAUGUUGCAUGACAUUUGCUUAAAAGGUGCAAUUGCCUCACUACCAGAUGGCCCUGCGUUGUAUUAGCUAGUUGGUGGGGUAACGGCCCACCAAGGCGACGAUACAUAGCCGACCUGAGAGGGUGAUCCGCCCCACUGGGACUGGGACCCGGCCCAGACUCCUACGGGAGGCAGCCGUAGGGAAUCUUCGGACAUGGACGGAAGUCUGACCGAGCAACGCCGCGUGAGUGAAGGAGGUUUUCGGAUCGUAAAGCUCUGUUGGUAGAGAAGAACGAGUGUGAGAGUGGAAAGUUCACACUGUGACGGUACCUUACCAGAAAGGGACGGCUAACUACGUG
rnacentral:rRNA from 1 species